GGAGGCCACUAGGAGGUGUCGGGACACAACGUGACACAAACAGUCAGCAUGUUUUCACUCUGAUAUUUUAGUUUCAAGAGUGUCUGGAGGACGAAGCAGAAGGCCGGUUAUCUUUAACUACUCAUUUCAUCUGGUCUCUGAAUGGCGAGGGCGCUGAGAGGACGCUGCCCUCCAUCUGACCCACAUCUGAUUCACCUUGAGCAAGGCAGGCUGCUGGCAACACACACCGAGCCAUGGAGUUCAGUCGUGCUGCGACACUGUUGCAUAAUCUAAAAAGCUGCUCUGUAAUAAAUAAUUC